rnacentral:rRNA from 1 species
GCGCACAGCCGCGGUAAUACGUAGGGUGCAGCGUUAUCCGGAAUUAUUGGGCGUAAAGGGCUCGUAGGCGGUUCGUCGCGUCCGGUGUGAAAGUCCAUCGCUUAACGGUGGAUCCGCGCCGGGUACGGGCGGGCUUGAGUGCGGUAGGGGAGACUGGAAUUCCCGGUGUAACGGUGGAAUGUGUAGAUAUCGGGAAGAACACCAAUGGCGAAGGCAGGUCUCUGGGCCGUUACUGACGCUGAGGAGCGAAAGCGUGGGGAGCGAACAGGAUUAGAUACCCUGGUAGUCCACGCCGUAAACGGUGGAUGCUGGAUGUGGGGCCCGUUCCACGGGUUCCGUGUCGGAGCUAACGCGUUAAGCAUCCCGCCUGGGGAGUACGGCCGCAAGGCUAAAACUCAAAGAAAUUGACGGGGGCCCGCACAAGCGGCGGAGCAUGCGGAUUAAUUCGAUGCAACGCGAAGAACCUUACCUGGGCUUGACAUGUUCCCGACGGUCGUAGAGAUACGGCUUCCCUUCGGGGCGGGUUCACAGGUGGUGCAUGGUCGUCGUCAGCUCGUGUCGUGAGAUGUUGGGUUAAGUCCCGCAACGAGCGCAACCCUCGCCCCGUGUUGCCAGCGGAUUAUGCCGGGAACUCACGGGGGACCGCCGGGGUUAACUCGGAGGAAGGUGGGGAUGACGUCAGAUCAUCAUGCCCCUUACGUCCAGGGCUUCACGCAUGCUACAAUGGCCGGUACAACGGGAUGCGACGCGGCGACGCGGAGCGGAUCCCUGAAAACCGGUCACAGUUCGGAUCGCAGUCUGCAACUCGACUGCGUGAAGGCGGAGUCGCUAGUAAUCGCGAAUCAGCAACGUCGCGGUGAAUGCGUACCCGGACCUGAA